GCGGGUAUAGCUCAGUGGUAGACUGCAUUCCUACCAUGUAGGAGGUCCUGGGUUCAAUUCCCAGUACCUCCA
rfam:Camelus ferus unplaced genomic scaffold scaffold905, whole genome shotgun sequence.